UCGAGAGUGAGAGACAGAUUGAGUGAGAGAGCACUGAUGAGCAAUUCCUGUCGUUCACUUCUCCACCGUGCUUUCCGUCGCCUACCUUGUCGCCAAUGACUGUGGAGUGGUUCCAGUUGCCAUUGCAAGGUCGACGCUCUGUCCGCUGUUCUGUCUCUUUUACUCUUGUGUACGUCGGUGGUGUGUGGGGAAGCCAAGUCAGGGAUUGGGGGUGCUCUCCAUCUCCUCCAUGUUCACACGGAUAGCUUCUCCUCUUCCUUACUUCUACUAUAGCUGAUGUGAGUGGAUGCUGAAAUGGAAGAGUAGAGGGGGUUUAAUCAAGCUGAAACAUGAGCCGAGCAUGUGUUGAUGGCAUAGUCGAUGAUUUACCUCCUGUUGAACUCUGAGGGGCUCAUUAUUGAAUUGAUGAGAAGACUUUUUAAAAAUACCUUCAUUUUGAUGUAAAUGUUUAAUUUGGUGUUAUAUUUUGAAAUUAUGAUUUGGUAUGUUUCACGUUAACUAUA